rnacentral:rRNA from 1 species
AUUGAACGCUGGCGGCAUGCCUUACACAUGCAAGUCGAACGGUAACACGCUUUCAGCUGCUUACUACUGGUGGCCGGUUGCGUACUGGUUCGGAGUGUGUCCGAAUCUUCUUGUUCGUGGAGCAAAACGUGUGCUAAUACCCCCUAUUAUCUCAUACUGCAAACGGGGGAAAACACAGGAUUGUUUGGCCUUGCGCCUCUGGAUCGGCCGAUGUCGGAUUAGCUAGUUGGUGGGGUAAAGGCCUACCAAGCCGACGAUCUGUAGCUGGUCUGAGAGGACGACCAGCCACACUGGGACUGAGACACGGCCCAGACUCCUACGGGAGGCAGCAGUGGGGAAUUUUGGACAAUGGGCGCAAGCCUGAUCCAGCAAUGCCGCGUGCGGGAAGAAGGCCUUCGGGUUGUAAACCGCUUUUGUAGGGAACGAAAAGGAGCGGGCUAAUACCUGGGGCUGAUGACGGUACCGUAAGAAUAAGCACCGGCUAACUACGUG